rnacentral:tRNA from 1 species
AGGGGAAGAGUUCGUUUGGUAGAAUAUUGGUCUCCAAAACCACAGGUUAAGGGUUCGACUCCCUUUUCCCCUG